AUUUGAAGCACCUGCAGUAUCUCCUGGCAUACUGUGAAAAAUGUUGCUAUCUCUGGGUGGAUGAGACAGUCCUGGGAGCAGGGCUUUCUGUGCAGGUGUGGAGUUUGCUCACUGAGAAUGUAAUUUUGAGCUAGAGAGAAAAAUUCUUCCCUUGGAGAUGCUCAGAAGGUGGCAGCUUAGCCCUGCCAGCAAUCCUGUCCCAGCUCAGACAGCCCAGCCUGCCUGCCUCUCCAUCCAUGCAGUAUGCAUACACAUACGCGCACCUUCCUGCCCGCAUCCAGCUCUCCUGUCAGAGGAUUCUGUCUUUGAACUGAACAAAGCCCUCACAAGCCAUGCUAUGAGUUGAGUCGCUUACCUCUGUCUCGGGAGGAGUUUAUCUCCCUUGACAAGGUUUUGUCUGGUGUUAGCAGCGGGGCUGAUGACAGGCUGUGCAUGCAGCAGCAUGUGACCCCGGCUCCUGGCCUCGGCGCAGGCAGUCGUCAGAGCUGUCACGCAGUCAGAACAAGUUAAUUCAAUGCGUGAAGGGUGAGGUGCGAGCUGUAAUAAUAUCAGGCCUCUGGAGAGGGUGCUGUCAUACAGCGUGUACUGGCGGCUGCCCCAGCUGCUGCCUCUCGCCUACAAGGAUGCAAGCUGACAGGCAGCAGGUUUAUUUGCCCGGAGUUGGACGGGGAGCACGCGUGUUAAUUUUCUGUCCGUUUGGCAGAGCUGGUGAUACCACUCACUGCAUGCCUCUCACCUGGCAAGAGCGCCUGAGGAAGCAGGACAUGCUUGACGUGGUGGCUGAGGGGCUGAGGUGGCCAGGGCCCUGGUCUGCUGUGGCUCGCGGGCUGGGCCUCUGCCCAGUUUUCAUGCUCUGCUCCUUUUCCCUCAUGCAGACUACUCUGGCUUUAUAAUCUGCUCUUCCUUUUCUGACAGGAGGCUGGUGUUUUUGGGGGCUAGCUGCCUUUAAAAGUUUCUGGGUAGUUGGCCCUCUUUGCUUGUGUUGAUGCGUACUGCAUAUGUAUACCAACUGUAUAUCUAUACACACAUAGUUUCUUGAGUAUUUUCAGCUCUGCAUCAGGCAAAGUGAAGCAGACUCUGCCUGUAAAGUGUAUGUCAUGUCAUAAUUAAAAGAAGACUAAUAAUCUGUUUCAGGACAGUGAAAUUUCUCUUCGUUGCCAGACAUGAGAGGCCUUUACUGGGGUGGGCAGCCAAGCUCCAUUACAGAUGCUUUCUCACUCCCCCUCCUCAACGAGACAGAGGGAGAAAAUAAGAUGGAAAGGGCUCAAGGGUUGAGGUAAGGACAGAGAGAUUGCUCAACAGUUAUCAUGAUGGGCAAAAUAGACUCAGAGUAGGGACUCAAACUGGUCAAUUUCUGUAUGGUUAUAAACAUCCAGAUGUGAUAAACACAACAGCAAGACUUUGUUACAUUCAACUCAGAACAUAUGAAAGUGAUGGGAUACAACAAAAAUAAGGAAAAAAAAUCCCUCUGUUUAUUCCCUCCUACACUCUUUCUCAAAAUACACUUAAUUGAGGAGUACAGCAAGAAAACUAGGACUGCUGCCAAAAAAGUAAAAA